AACACGUGGGUAACCUGCCCAUCAGAAGGGGAUAACACUUGGAAACAGGUGCUAAUACCGUAUAACAAUCGAAACCGCAUGGUUUUGAUUUGAAAGGCGCUUUCGGGUGUCGCUGAUGGAUGGACCCGCGGUGCAUUAGCUAGUUGGUGAGGUAACGGCUCACCAAGGCGACGAUGCAUAGCCGACCUGAGAGGGUGAUCGGCCACAUUGGGACUGAGACACGGCCCAAACUCCUACGGGAGGCAGCAGUAGGGAAUCUUCGGCAAUGGACGAAAGUCUGACCGAGCAACGCCGCGUGAGUGAAGAAGGUUUUCGGAUCGUAAAACUCUGUUGUUAGAGAAGAACAAGGAUGAGAGUAACUGUUCAUCCCUUGACGGUAUCUAACCAGAAAGCCACGGCUAACUACGUGCCAGCAGCCGCGGUAAUACGUAGGUGGCAAGCGUUGUCCGGAUUUAUUGGGCGUAAAGCGAGCGCAGGCGGUUUCUUAAGUCUGAUGUGAAAGCCCCCGGCUCAACCGGGGAGGGUCAUUGGAAACUGGGAGACUUGAGUGCAGAAGAGGAGAGUGGAAUUCCAUGUGUAGCGGUGAAAUGCGUAGAUAUAUGGAGGAACACCAGUGGCGAAGGCGGCUCUCUGGUCUGUAACUGACGCUGAGGCUCGAAAGCGUGGGGAGCAAACAGGAUUAGAUACCCUGGUAGUCCACGCCGUAAACGAUGAGUGCUAAGUGUUGGAGGGUUUCCGCCCUUCAGUGCUGCAGCUAACGCAUUAAGCACUCCGCCUGGGGAGUACGACCGCAAGGUUGAAACUCAAAGGAAUUGACGGGGGCCCGCACAAGCGGUGGAGCAUGUGGUUUAAUUCGAAGCAACGCGAAGAACCUUACCAGGUCUUGACAUCCUUUGACCACUCUAGAGAUAGAGCUUCCCCUUCGGGGGCAAAGUGACAGGUGGUGCAUGGUUGUCGUCAGCUCGUGUCGUGAGAUGUUGGGUUAAGUCCCGCAACGAGCGCAACCCUUAUUGUUAGUUGCCAUCAUUUAGUUGGGCACUCUAGCAAGACUGCCGGUGACAAACCGGAGGAAGGUGGGGAUGACGUCAAAUCAUCAUGCCCCUUAUGACCUGGGCUACACACGUGCUACAAUGGGAAGUACAACGAGUCGCAAAGUCGCGAGGCUAAGCUAAUCUCUUAAAGCUUCUCUCAGUUCGGAUUGUAGGCUGCAACUCGCCUACAUGAAGCCGGAAUCGCUAGUAAUCGCGGAUCAGCACGCCGCGGUGAAUACGUUCCCGGGCCUUG
rnacentral:rRNA from 1 species